UCUUUCCUUCAUUUUAAUUUUGGGAAUUUGUUUUUUUAUGUUGUUCUAUGAUUUUAGCGAGUUUUCUCAUUAUGGACUAAUUAUUGAUAGAGGUGAUUUUGGAUAUUCAUGAGCAAAUUUAGGAACAAUAUCAUUUAUUUAUUUUCUGUAUGAGUAUUUGAAAGAGUCCAUCCUUCCUUGGGUCAGCUGGGAGGUGGAACUGCAGCGGCUGCCAAUGCUUACCUAGCAUUGAGGGAUAUAUAUUUCUUUUGAUAAGGAAAACAUCACUUACAUUUUAUGUAGCUAGUUAUUUCUUGCAUAGCUUUUGCCAGAUCCACAGAUGUGACUGAGUUGAUGACGGUUUUCCCAGGCUAAGUUCUGAGGAUUCAGGUGAAAGCCAGUGAGAAUCAGACCACGUUUCUGAGGUAUGCUGGAGGCUAUUUAUAACCCAGCCUGCAUGUUAGGAAUGAACUUUUAAAUUGGCUUAUAAACAGGAAUUUAUGAGAGAGCUAAAAAAUUUACAAGUUUGGUAAUUGAUUGAUGACAAAUUGUUCAUUCUUUGAAGUCUCAUUCAGUAAGUACACAUAUAGAUAAGACAUGGUGUGUUCAGGUAAGACAUCUGUGGUCUAGUGGGGAGACAAUUUUUGGAGGGCGGGCAUUUAUUGACUGCCCAUUGUGUGCCAGGCACUGAGAGUACAAAGACACAACAGAAGCAAAUGAUUUAUGUUCGUUCUCAAUGGGCCAUAACUCGGACGGAGAGACGCUAACCUGACAGAUGUUUAACAGGGUGCAGAGUGACGCGGAGGAAAUGAACACCUGGUGCCUAGAAGCAACAUCUAACCCGGAUCUCAGGCAUGGCUUUUACGGUGGUUCUUGGGGAGGUGCAACAUCUUCUGUGAGUUUUGAAAAAAGGUAAAUGCUUGGGAGUUCAGGAGGUAGAAAAGGAAGUGGAGACGUUUCAGGCAGAGCAAAAAUAAUCAUGAAAUCAUGAAGACAUGAAGAAGCCGAGAGCGGAGUUGGGAAGCAGGAAGGAGUUCCCUGUGGCUGGGGGACAGGGUACCUGAAUGGUGUAAAUGGUUGGGGAUAGCUGCCAGGUGGGGACACAGAGGGUGUUGCAUGUUGUUCUACAAAGCUUGAUAUUAUCCCUUAAGAAGCACAGAGCCCGCUGAGGUCUUCAAGCAGAGGAGGGAUAUAAUCAAAUAAAUUUUUUAGGAGUCUGGUGUGGAGAAUGAGCUCAAACAGAAAAAGACUGAUGUUAGGGUUUUCAGUUAGGAAUCCAGGUAAUAGUCCAAAUAGGAGAUGGUGAGGUCCUGGAUGAAGAGCACAGGAGAAAGGGAGAGAAAGAGUCCAUCAGAAGGACUGGUCUAGAAUCCGUGGAGCUUCCUGAGCAGGUGGGUGGCUGGUCGGGAUCCAGAAAGGUCACAGAGGGCUCCCGCCAGUUCUGGGUGGCGGGAUGCAUAGUGCCACCACGAAACAAGGUGUUAUCUCUAUACUGUGCUGGUUUCAGGACCCAGAAACCGAGAAGACAGGAUCGAUUAUUUUCAUCAUGUAACUACUCAUCAAGAAUAUUAUGCAAUUCGUUUGCUAAAGUUUCCUUGUUUUCUUUGACUUCAUAUAAAGAGGAUCCAAGCAUUUAAAUCCGGACUUUAAUCACCAUGAACUGGGUUUGAGUCAAAGAUUCCACGUAGACAUGUUCUGAGAUUAAGAUGAUUUAUACUAUUGCACUGUGCCUAGGAAGAAGGACCCCCCAUCACUCUCAAGUAAAUUGAUAAUAUAGUUAAUUUCCUAAUUAACUUCUUAGGUUUUUUUAAAAAAAAAUUCUUCUUUUUGUUUAAUAUCAUGAUUUCUACCCUUGUAACUCUCCAGUUUAAAGCCAGUAAUUUCUUUAUAUUAAUGAUGAAAUUAUCCAGCUUCCUCUCUAGAAGCUAUCUACUGAGUUUUAUCGAUUUAUUUUGAAACGUGAUUGAAAUAACUGGACGCUCUGCUCUCGGUUCUGCCUCAGUUGCGGGGAGCUGCUUGUAGGCCUGGAGUCAUUCCUGCUGGCUGGGAAGGGCAACUUGUGAAUCAUUUCUCCAAACUCAUAUAACUCUCAUUGAUAGAAAGCUUUCUAGCUCCAAAAUACUUUGCAACUGUUAACUGGUUAAUCACAUCUUCAGUCUCAAGGGCUCUGAGUAAUUUAGAGCUUUGUUUUUCCUUUGUAGCUUGUGGUAUCCAUUAUGGCACUAUUUAUUUUGAGCUCCUGACCUUGGUUUUAUUUGGAUAUGUUUCUCUUGGAUGUGUUUGUAGUUAUUUUUCUUUUUCUAAUUUUGCUAGGAUGCCCAAGGGGCUUGGGACCCGGCUGCCUAUAAAUUAAUAUAAAAAUGAACUGCAUUUGUAUUCUUUGUCAUCUGCCAGAAUGCCAUUUGGAAUCUUCUCUUGGAGUACAAGUCUCGCAAAUACUCACUACAGUGGAAUUCAGGUGCAAAGUAAACACAGCAGUUCUGGUAUCAGCAUCCAUUUAGCCGGGGGGAAGUGGGGAGUUUUUAUGCCUAUUAUUAUUGCAAACAGAUUGUUCACUGUGCGCUAUUUGAAACAGAGAGGGAGUGAGUGAUUUAAGAAUCUGUAUUUUAAUCAAUCAAAUAACUUGAGCACAUUUUUUUUUUGUUUUCCUUCUUUAAGGUUGUGAAACCACAGCCAAAACAGAAAGAAAAGCUUUGCUGUAUGCCAAAGAGCAAUUCAAGUGGCAGUAGGUGGCUUUCUAUUUUCCAAUUUGCCAAGAUCUUUCUCUUGCUGGUUCUCACCUACACAAACAUUGUGAGAAAAUGGUGUCUUGGUGAGUGCUGUGGCUACUUAAAAGAAACAAAAAUAAAAACCAAAAAACCCCCUCCCACUUCAACACUACAAAUGACAUUUUUAGCACUAACCGGAGGUGUAGACAACCAGAUGGCCUCUGGAUCCCUCAGCACAGUGGGGCUGGAGGGGGUCCCCUGAACCCUUUCCUACCUGCCAUGUGGAUCUGGCUGUAGCAACACUUCCACAUCUGCUGUGUUCACACACAGGAUCCAUGCUAAACAAUCGCCCAUCCCCUAUCUGGACCUGGGUUUUAAAUUGUCUUGUGAGCCAGAAGGAGGCCAUGUUCCAGCCGGCGAUGGUGGGUGGAUUGCCAAAUGCGGAAUUUUAUCUAAACUGGGACCGUAUCCGAAGCACAUUUAUGUUGGUGCAGGGAGACUGGAGUCACAACAGAUAAACUGAAAGAUUGUUUCAUGAUGGAUUAUACAAGACACUGUUUCUCCAAAAAAUGUUUUCUAUCACACAAAGGCCAGAGAUCACAUAACUCCUGUUCAGGACCAUCCAUCAAGCAGACUUGCUCUCACCAAAAGGCUAAGUUGCCAAAAAAUGAAGCAUCAGAAGGGCUUCAGCAUUUGGGACUAUAUAUAAUAUAUACCAAAACCCAAUGACGCUGAAGAUGGCUGAGUGCCCUGCGCCUCAGGCUGAGAUCUUGUUUUACUGAAACCAAGUAUAAGAUAUCAGAAUGAACUGACCAAAUUCAACAAACAGUUGUUUAAUUGCUGUCUCAGAAUAGAAACCUCUUUUAGGUGCCUUUGGGAUAAAGGAAAGACAGAAACGAUUCAAUCUGCAGGGUACCUAGAUUUGGUUGAAUGAAGAUAUUAACAAUGAUAUAUGCGAUUGCAGUUAAAUGUGUUUACCUAAUAAACUCAGGGCCCUGAGGUGGUUGUGGCAAUGGUGGAAACUUGAGGAGAGGGCAGACUGUUAUCAGAGCUGGCACAAGCUUAAUUAGAGUGUCUGGUUAUUUUUUGUGCAUUCUCAGGUAUUAUAAGGUUACGCUGUAAUUAUAAUGUUACUAAAGCGCUGGUAUAAGCCAGCCAGCAAUUUUAUUGAGUCCAUUACAAGCAUAAUUAAUCAGAUGACACACAACUGCUUUUUGAAAGAAAGCAGAAAAUAAAUUCACCUCAGUUAUAAAGCUAACUUCUAAUGAGAGAACUUGGAAUCAAUAUCUUUAAUCUGAAGUUUUCAAAAAAAGUUUUUGCCUCAUAUUCUAUUCCAUGUUUUCAAAGAUCUAUCUUUAGAAUACCAGUGAAAACUUUAUAUAUAUGCAUCUUCAAACAAACAUUAUAGAUAAAAUUAAUAAAUAUGUUUGCUUAUUUGCCAUAAUUACACAGACAAAUUUUAAGAGAGGGCUAUUAACAGGCUAAGGUGACAUUUUAUUUUAUCAAAUUGGUUAAAUUGAGAUGUAGGAAACACCAAUGCUAAUUGCAAAGGAAUUGUCAUAGUCCGUCCAGACCAGAACACAAAUUCUCUCACGACUGCAUGGAUAUCCCAGUCUGACCCACUUCACCCACACCGGCUGAAACCGUCUCAAACACUCUAUUUCAAAUCAGCCAGAGUUUCCCAUUUACAGAGCUGUAUUUAGGGGCUCAAGCACAGAAUACCAAAAUUACUUUCUUUGACGAAUAACAAGUAAGUUAUUUUUGGUUUAUUUGCUUUUGGAUACCAAUCUAAUUUUAUUCUGACCUUGUGCUUGAGGUUUAAUCUAAGUAAUGGGAAUUUAAUCUAUUGAUCUAUCUAAAUAUCUCUAACAAAUAUGUAAAGGAAACUACCAAUUAUUUUCUUCUAAAAAGUUCAAUUCUUAUUGUUGAAUGGUUUGAAUCCCAGGGAGCAGAUUGUCCCCAGGGCCUGACGAGAGCCGAGGCCUCUGUCUCAGACACAGGCGAGGCCUCAUUUCUCAUGCCCAUCUUCUGAGUCCCGCUGACGGGGGGGAUCCUGUUUCAGGGUCUGGGACACUCUGCAUGACUCGACCUGGGGAUGUGAGGCACGAUCAGGGGAGUCCAGUGUGAAUAAAUCGAUUCAGUAGUGGCUUCAGGAUCUUAGAGAACCUUUCUUAACACAUGGUUUUAUAAAUCAUUAGGGUCUCACAAAUUCCCACCUUCUCCUUAAUUCACUCUAACUCUCACCGCAUUUCCCUUUGGGGACUAGCUGACUGAGAGGACAGCUGUGUCACAGUAGAAGGUCACUGGGCUGAAAGACCGAAGACCUGGGUUCUAGCUCCCCUUCUCUCCCUUGAAAACCACUUGUUCCCUGGCAGGUCUCUGAACCUCACCGAGACUCAGUUUAUCCUAUAAAGCAAGGACGUCACCACAGGCCUGGUACGGCAGCCAUUGAGGGUUAACUGCAAAGUGUGUAGAGUGUCGAGGUGCUGGGCAAAGGCUGGAUAUUGUCUAUCGUUGUAUAAUGAAUGGCAAAUAGAGCGAUAUAACCUCCACUGAAAUUAAAACGUUGGAUGUGGGAUGUGGUUUCUUUAGCAUCUAUUAUGAAUAUUUAGUCCAUGUAUUGAAAUCCAGUUCCUGCUUGAGACUUGAGAUCCGUAUUCCUAAGUCAUCUCUUAAAUGGAGACUGCUGCCCAAAAUGAGAAAUGCUGUCUUCUCCCCCCAGAUAUUCUAGCCUCUCACUCAUCCUCUUGUGACUAAGGGUACAACAGUGAAACCUGUAAAACACGCAGCAGACACUCAGUCGUGCUCCUCAUCCCACAUGCUGUCCCGACCUCUAAGGCUAGAGUUACACAUGUGGGCCAGAGGAGGGGAAGACCCAGCCUCGGUGAGGCCGAGCCGCUUGUGCUCAGUGAUGGAGCUGGAGUUCUCAGCCAAUGGAGGCACAGGGAGGAAGGGUGGACAACCGCAGCUCUCCCUCUGACCAGAAGCCCUGGGUGGGCCUCCUAAGCUCAUGGACCACUGGUUGUGUUUGGUGGAGUGUUAUAUUAUAGAAGUAAAUCCUUUAUAAAGAAGCAAAGAAAUAGAAUUAUUCUUUCUUUUGUGUUGUGGUGGACUGAAUUUGACAGAGAAACAGAUAGAAUAUGGGAACUAAGGUCUUGAGCGAAAGACCCCUGAGAGAGGGUCUCUGCUGUGAGGCUGCGGACUCCUGCCGUCACCCUGCUGAGAGCACGCCUCUCCUCCUCCCCCUUUAGAGUACACCCUGGCAAUGUAACACUCAGAAUCUUUGGCUCUCAAGCACCUCUUAAAAAGAAUAAGUUUUGGAACAGUAUCCUUGCACUUUCCUCUCAUGCACUUCCAAAAUACCGCCCUGCCGUUGACCCAUGAGCCUGAAGCUCUGUCGUCCCCUCCAGGAACAUCCAGGUGAUAUGUCUGCCGUCAGAUUACACCUGCUUAAGCCAACAAGUUUAAUUGAAUACACAAAAUAAGUAUAACAGAGUUUUUUCAGUAAGAUAGCAUUAUUUUCUGUAAUCCUAUACUCUACUAGAUGCAAUCCAUACAGGGAAAAAGCAAGCAUUUUUCUUCCGUCAUUUGAAUACACAGCCAAGUAAGUCUAUGAAAACCAGCUCCUGGCUGGGUUACACUUUGUCAACUUGUUAGUCAAUAACCUUAGCUUUCUCUCUUUGCAUGUGUGAAUGAAUAUGGCUUGUGGAUUCCUCUGGGCACAUUCUAGUUGCCAAAAAAAUUAAUCUGGAAGAAAAUAAUGUGCUUGCUCUCCUUUGGAACCUUGUAGAAGCUUAUGAAAUGCCAAAUGAGAAUAUUAAAUCUGAUAUGUGAGGGUCAUGGUUGUGCUGUGCUGAAGAGAUUAUUCAGAACUUCUUCUAGUUUUUGGCAUCAGGAACCUAUGGAGAUGAAAAUUCCCCCUAAAGUGUUCCAAGUCCUUUGUCUUCUGGCUGUCCUCUCGCUCUUUUCAGACCCGGCCCCUCAGCUGGGGAGCAGGCCCUGAGAAACUCUUCAAUUUAUUUUUACUCCAUCAAACAUAGUUAGGUUACUUAUGUAGUUUUUAAGAUAUGCAAAAUAGCUUACAGUGUUUUUAAUGUUUCUUUCCUUUUUCCACCCCUCUCCACCAAUUCUCUAUUCGCUUUGCUUUCCAGUAAGUUGAAAGAGGGCAAAUUGACAGCUGUUAUUUCUUCCUGAUGCUUGGCAAUCUUUUUGGAGAAAAGUUACGUGCUUCACACUGCUCUUGUUUAGCAUUUGCUGUAGGUUUGAAAUAGAAGAAUAUAAAGGGGCUAUUGUGCAAAUCUAUUCUGUAAUCCCAUUUACAAUACACUAUGACAAUUCUGUUAUAAACAUAUGAAGCAUAAGUCACACUUUAUCUAAUACAGGUUAUAUUUUGCAAAAUCACCGGAAUUUAUUCCGCUCUUACCAUUCCCAUAGAAUAAUUUCCAAAACACAUUGUUAAGUGUCAUGGAAGCAGGUCAACAGUUGCCACAGCUUGGAGGUGGGGGAAAGGCUGACUUGAAAGCACUAGAAGGGAACUUUUGGGGAUGAUGGAAACAUUCUAUGUUUUUACUGUGGUGUUGAUCACACAACAGUGUACUAAAUUCAUACAACAGUACCAUAAAACAGUUGAAAUAUAUUGUAUGUAGAUUAUGCCUCAAUUAACCAGAAUUAAGGAAAAGAAAAUCCCAGAAUAAUACACAGAGAGUGAUCCUAUUAAUGUAAGAAAAACAGAAAAUCAUGCAAAUGAUCUUGAGCUACACCUCUGUCUAGGCCACGCCUACCUCUCUGCGCACCUCCACCCACCUCCGUUCUAUGGCCAACGCCCCAGAGAGCCAGCAUUGCUCUCGCUGCCUUCAGCGCCACCUGCGCUCACUCCCUGUCAUUUUAUCUAAGUAGGGACAGUGUUGCAUGGUAGUUAAACAUAGAAUCUGGAAUAAAAGUGCUUGGAUUCAAGUCUCGACUGGGUCACUUGCUGUACAACUUGGGCAAAUCCUGUAUCUUCUCUGUGCCUCAGUUUCAUCACCUGUAAAAUGUAGAUAAUAGUUCUUAUUGGUUUAUUGUAAGGGCUAAAUUAUAUUUAUUAAGGUACUUGGCACAAAUCCUGGCACAUAGUAAGUACUACAUAUAUUUUGACUAUUACUGUGGUUAUCUAUAUCUAUAAAUGCAUAAAAAAUGGUUUGUGAGGGUUCCCUCUGGUGAGGGCUGCAGUAUUGGGGAAAGGUGAAUAGGUCUAUAUCUAUAUUUUUUAUAAUCAGGACAUAUUACUUAUUACUUUUGAAUUAAAAUAAAAGAAAUGAGCAAGCAAUACCUACUAUUUGGUUGGAGAAUACGUACUUACCUCUUAGUAAUAGGACUGGUUUUCUGCUUUGACCAGAUUAGUCUGUUUUCUGGAGGGCAGAAAGCCAGUUUAACUUGGUCCUCCCGUGAUGCCCAAGGGCCAGGAGAUUGGGUGUUCCGAGUCAGUGAGGUUCUCCGAGUCAGUGUGGUUCUCCGAGGGUGCUGCCUCUGACUGGGCCAUGGCCCUGCGCCCCACUCCCUGUGGCCGUGGCUGCUGAUGUCGAGUCAGGACUUUUUGCUGCCUCUCACAGGGGCUUUGCAGUUUUAACCAGAAAGGGUGGCUUUAUCCUUUUACAUAUUUGGGCAUACGGGCUUCUAGAGAGGCCCCGAGGGUAAAGAUUUUCAGACCUAAAAUGAGCUACAUUAGGCUGGGGAUCUAGACUCAUUCUAGGAAAAAUUGGCUGUGAUAGAAACCUCAUUGAAAAUACCAGGUUGUCGGAAAACCUCUUUGGAGCCAGGUGGGAGAAGCUCUCUUUGGUCUAAUGCUGAUGUGCUGAUGAGCCACAGCUGGAAACCUGAGCUUUAUUUUUUAAGUAAUUUGAUGAUUUUACAUUUUAAUCAUUUUAUUUUAUAUGUAUGCAUAUAUAUCACAUUAUAUAUGGUCCAUGUGUAUAAUAUAUCUAGUGGUUGAAAAUGCUUAUUUUUCAUUUUAGCCAAAUGAAAAGAUGAAUUAUUAGAAGAUAAUCAGGCCGUCGUAGGUAAGAUAGGUUACCUAUCUCACCUGUCAUAGGUAAGACAGGCAAGUAGCUUAGCUGGAUCACAUGUUGUCUUUACACUGCUCUUGUUAAUCCGUUUUUGGAACACUUUGUCAUUUCUUUGUAUUCCUCUUUCUUAGGAGCCUUUCUUUUCCCCAUCGAAUUCUGAAAGUGAGAAGAGUUGCAUAGCCCUGUGUACUUACGGAGCAAGCCCAAGACAUGAAGUUCUUGUGGCAAGAGGUUUGACAGUUUGAUUUAGCGGAUGAUGCUCAAAAUGUGAGUGCAGUUGAUCAGAGAACUUGACGAAGGUUGGAUGGGGUCAAACCCUGUGCGCACAUUAUUGGAAGAGUGGUCUGAGUUCUGACGAUGCACCUGUCUACUUGUCUCUACCUGCUGCUGCCCAUAGGGUCGCGUGGAUACAGUUGUUUGUGUCUUCACUGGAGGCCGUGGGUCCACAGGGUAACACUGCUGUAAACUCCAAGGAGGAAGGAAAGGACGCUUGCUUCUUGACAUUGUUUCUCCUGCAGAACAACUAGGACCCGGAUUAGGCAGCCCAAAGAAUGAAGAGAGGAGAGUAGGUGACCUCUAGGAAUUCAGAAGGUUUUCAUAUCUUCUGCAUUCAAAGUCUGGGUGUCUUCAAAGGCUUUAAGACACCCUCAUUUCUAUUUCUAUAGAAAUAUAGAACAUUCUAUCCUACAGAAAUCACCCUCAUUUCUAGACAUAAUUACAUAAAUUCAUUUAGUGCUCCAAACUUUGCCUAAGUGUAGGAAAUAUAAUGUGUUCUGAAUGAGCUGAAAGCAUUCUAAUGCACUGCGGUUACAUACAUUUUUAACUUUUCUGAUUUGGCUGAGGUUUGUCCUGUUUCAGCGAGUAGAUGGCUGGACGUCAGCUGAGAAGGAAUUGUGUGGAAGUGAACAGAUAAACAGUCUACUUUCUGCAAUGAGAAUUAUCUUCAAAAAUAUAUAACGUUUAGAUAUUCCUUAGGCCUGUACAUCAACAGAACCCAGGGACGGACUCCUAAGCCUCUGUGAAGGUUACGUCGAGUGGUUAGGAUCAAUCUUUGACAACACAUGCUGCAUUUUUAUAGCUGUCUCAAAGUGCGUUUAUACAUCUGAGAACUCACGGGAAACUCACGCUUCAGAGGCAGCUCCUGGUUUUUAAGUUCACUGCAGGUCAGAGGGACAGACUCUGCUCCACGUGGUCACGUGAAGACCUAGGCUCCUUCCAUACUGUGGCUGUACAUCUCUCAAAAGUGGCUGGGAGUUUGCUUGGUCUCCGCCAUCUGGAGUCAAUGACAAGAGAAGACAUGAAGAAGGCACAUCUGUCUUAACUGUUUGUGAGCAGAGGUGAAAAAAAAUUGCGAGAUGCCUAGAAAACAAAGUGUAGAUUUGUACCUAGGAAGAGGGAAUGCAUUGGGUGAGUGUGUACCCAUCUCUGUCAUGUAGCGUGGGAAGGGAUGGACACUGGAAAGGGCGAGCUUUCUCCCGCGGGUGUGGGAUGGGGUGCGUGGUGCUGGGGAACAAACGGAAAAUGUUGUGUGUGUUCUAAUUCUUUCCGAAACUAUAGCAGUGUUACAAGCUUUAUCUCUGUGCUAAAUUUUGGCCAUUUGGGUUGGCAGAUUUUUCCUGUGGUAACCCUUUUACAUCGUGGCAAGGAUUUUCUGGUCUGAUUCAUGUAAACUCCUUCCCGCUUUUGUGAUCCCUGGCUAGCAGCUGGUGAAGCCUUUGCCGUCUGUUUGGUACACAUACUCUUCCAAAUAUCCGUAAGGUACUGACUUACGAGACCAAGAUCUGGGAAUAGAUGGAGCCUCAGCCUCUUCCUGAAUAGCACGGGUUGGUGUGGCUGGAAGUAAGACAUUUUGGUGCAAAACUCUCUCUCUGAAUGUACAUAGGUACAAGUUAAGUCUGAGGUUCAACUGAGGGCCUUCCAGGAAAGAGCACGUGAGGAGGACAGAGGCACUUACUGAGGACUUUAAACUAAAAACAGCAACAUUCAUGGGUGAGAAGGAGCUGGAUUCAGACCUGGCUGUUUCAAAGGAUUCUGAGGCUGAAAUGACUGGAAAAUGUUAUAAUUUAUUCUGAUUUCAAAUAGAAAAUACUAAUUUUCCUAUCCCUACAUAGAAGUUAUCCUCUUCAUGAACCUUAAAUUUGAAAUUGCCUAGAUUUCUUCUCUCAGCAUUUCAUGAUUUAAUAUAUUUACAAAAAAUUCUUAGCAAAACUCACCCGGUGUCGCCGGAGAAGUAUUUUAAUUCUCUGCUUUUCACUUGCUGAAAGUCAUUGGCAUUUGACCGUAGAAAUUAAGAAUUUGAAUGAUUCAUUCGUAAAGUACUGGGGACAUUAGGAUCUGUUUAGGGGCACCAGAAUGUCCACUUAUUUUCAUUGCAGUUUCCAACACAGGAUAAGCAUUCUGAAGUCGAUGCUCUGGGAAAAGCCACCUUCAGUACAAACUCUUAUGUUGUGGAAAAUUAAUCUGAUUGCUUCUUUUUCAUCAUAAACAUAUGAUCUAGCAAGCAGCUGUGUGCCUUCAUGUGGUCUCUGGAACUCUACUUUUGUUUUUUGGAAAUGCAUUUACUUUUAUACAUGGUGAUAGUAAACCAGUAUUGAAUAUUAUGUUAAUAACACUGUUUUUAAAAAAAGUAUCACUUUUUAGCCAUAGUGUCCUGAGAGCCAUAUAUGUCAUAAUUUGAUGGGAAAUGUAUUUCCAGUGUGUUACAAAAACACAAGACUGAAGAUUUUCUAGGUAAUUAAUAAAAACAAAUCAGAGCGAUUGAAGGCAUCUCUAUCAUACAGUCAUUUCCCCGACUGGAAUUGUACGAUAUUCACUUGGUGGGUGAGAAAGCAAAGCAGGAAAAUGUGGCCCAGGGGAAAGAGCAGGUAGUUCAGACACUGGCAGUACAUUUUUACAGCUGUGUAAACUUUCUGAUUCUUAAGCAAUUGACAGUCACUGAUCAAAUGACUGUUACAACGUGGCACGUAAAAUCUAGUGGUGAUGAUUGUGUUUGUGGUAGUAUUUACUUGACCUCUCCACACACUUUUUUUCACUUGUAUUGAGGUCUGUAAGUGACUAAUCUGCAGAUUAGCUGUAACGUGUGCCAUUUCGGAAAGUAGCUUGGACCUGCCUGUGUAGACCAGCAUGCGGUGUCUGGGAAGACAGCUUCCAGAACUGGGUGGACUCGCAAUGAGUGACACUCUUCUGUGCGCUCCUGAUUCACGGUGAAAUCAUAUUCCUUAAUAAAAACAUGUUUAUGUCCACUUCACCUUCAGUAUCCGUUUUAGUUCUUGUUGUUGUAAACAAAAAGAUUUAGAUUUCUGUGGAAACCAAAACAGAGGAAGCAUAAUAGACAUUUUUGACAAAAUACUUACCUUUGAAACAUGUUAACUGUUCUUCCUUUUUGUUUUGAAUUCUUAGAGACCUACCUCUACAUAGACUUCUUCUUUUUAAAAAUUGUAUAUAGCUGAAUAAAUGGAAAACACUUAUAUUUAAAGUGAAUGUUAUAGUUAAAGUUCACAUAUUAAAGUUAUAUGAAUGCAAAAACUCAAAGCAAAAGCAAUGAAAGUACUUGCUAUUUUAAAAGUUCCUUAUAUUUAGCCUAAGUCCCAAUUUGAUUAUUUAAAAACAUAAUUUUUAUAAAGGCAAAAUUUCUGAACAAAGUUUAAAAUGUUAUCGUUUAGGGAAGCUUAUCAGAAAAACUAAAAACUAAAAACACUAAAAAUGUAUUAAAAAAAGUAUUUUUUGGAAAAAAGUGUCAUUGCUCAGUUUGAGUCAAUUCCCCAAGCAUUAAUGAUCCAGUUAUAGAAGUAAACAAAUUUUUUUCUGAUGUCUUUAUAUUUAAAAAUCUUUUCAAAUUACUGUAAUUUCAUAGCUUAGGUGAAAUCCAUCCAUGUUGAUUAAAAAAUAGAAAACUGCUUAACGGCUGGUUGCAGCCAGGCCUGCAUGCAGCCCCAAUGGCACAAGGAAUCAUACAGUAUUUAAUGUAGUUACGUGGGUCUACAUGAGUAAUAUUUGGAUGAAAAUGUUUCUAUCAUUUUCAGCCCCGAUGAAGCAUAGUCUGUGAUACCCAGAGGGGGAAGUGUGCCGAGGAACGGGGGUUACGAAAACCCUACAAACUAGCCUAGCAACCAUUCCGGUUCCUGCUGUUGUUCCCCGGGACAAUAAAGAGCCUGCUGCCAAGGUCCAUUUUCUAAACGGCAAAGUAGGAUUUUGAUUUACACAGUGUAGCUGACUUGGUUUCACAUGUUGUCUCUUGGUCCACUUCCUGACAUUCUUCUGGCAGAGGUAACACUCAUUCCAAUUUUCAGGCUUUCUUCACAAGGCAGAGGCCCUUGUAAAAGCUGUGUGACUCACAUUUUCUAUUGCGAAAGGCGCUCAUCAUCAAAUCCUGGGACGCGUUCAUCCAAACACUUAGAGUUUUACAACCACCAUCCAGGGGCACGGAAGAACAAGUUAACGCACUAUGGCAACUCUGCGGCCUCUCAACGGGCCUUGGGAUGAAGGAGCUGUUUUGCAUUAUCUGGAGUAUGGAAGUGAAAGGCCCGUUGUCUCUGUGCUGUUGAUUGAAUUAAACUCCCUACCCGGAAAGGCAUCCUCUCACCUCUUGAGGCCACAGCAGUAUUCCAAGCAGGCACGCCUAUGUGAGUGACCAUAUUAUCUAAAACAGCAAGAAAAAGUAAUUGUGUUCCUUUGACCUGUGUCCUUGAGGUAUCUCCUUAUUCUUUUAUUGAGUCGUUUUUAAUUAUAAGGGGUCAUACUCAAGGUCUUCCUUAAAUUACUUGUGUUAUUUUCAGGUGAGUCACAGGUAUCUGUGGCCAUUGUAUUUUAAAAUGUAAGAUUGAAAAGGCUUAAAUUUAAACAGGCUACGGAGAGUAAGAGCUUCUUGGUACAGGGACUGUGAGAUGCUGGGGAAGGUGAUCUUGAGAUGCAUGGGAUUUCUUAUUUUGGUAAAGGAUAGGAGUACUAUCGAUGGUGGUACCAUGGGAUUGGAGUAGAGGAGGGGCCGUUGUCCAAGUGAGAUAGUGGAUAUAGCCUCUCGCGGAACUAAAGAAAUAGUGUCCUGACUUAGCUCUUUCCUGGUCCUCUGCCUUUGGAGACAAGCCCUGUAAAGGAGACUCCUCUUGCCCCGGAACUUCACCUCCCAGAGAACUGGGCAGUGUCAGACAUCCCAAGAUAGCUGUCGUCUCCCUGCUUCUCUGGAAAGCUCUCGCCCAGUUUCAUUGAGGCCAGAUGUAUUCUUUGCCUAACCAGGGCUUUCUGAGCAUUAGCUGAAUCGGGUGCUUACUGUAAUUCAGUGCUAUGAAAUCUUCAAAUUAUCUUGCCCCAGCAAUAUAGUUUCUCCAGUGACAAAAUACAGAACUUACGAAAACAGAAGUAAACUGCUGAUACUGAGUAUUUUUCUACAUUUAAAAAAUAUUAAAUUUUGGCCUCUGGUGUGCCUCUUGAAGUGCCAUUGAAAUAAAAUAAAGGCACAUGUCUUUGCCAGGCAGGGUUUGGCAUUUUUCUUCUGAAAACAUUCAGAAGC